rnacentral:rRNA from 1 species
GAUCGUGGCUCAGAUUGAACGCUGGCGGCAGGCUUAACACAUGCAAGUCGAACGGAAGUUACUAGCUUGCUAGUAACUUUAGUGGCGAACGGGUGAGUAACAUUUAGGAAUCUGCCUCAUAACGGGGGAUAGCUCGGGGAAACUCGCAAUUAAUACCGCAUACACCCUACGGGGGAAAGGUGGCGCAAGCUGCCGAUAUGAGAUGAGCCUAAAUCAGAUUAGCUAGAUGGUGGGGUAAAGGCCUACCAUGGCGACGAUCUGUAACUGGUCUGAGAGGAUGAUCAGUCACACCGGAACUGAGACACGGUCCGGACUCACUACGGGAGGCAGCAGUGGGGAAUAUUGGACAAUGGGCGAAAGCCUGAUCCAGCCAUGCCGCGUGUGUGAAGAAGGCCAUAAGGUUGUAAAGCACUUUAAGCAGGGAGGAAGAACUUUUAGUUAAUAGCUAAAAGUGGUGACGUUACCUGCAGAAUAAGCACCGGCUAACUCUGUGCCAGACAGCGCGCGGUAAUACAGAGGGUGCGAGACGUUAAUCAGGAAUUACUGGGCGUAAAGCCGAGCGUAGGUGGUUGAUUAAGUCAAGCUUGUGAAAUCCCCGGGCUUAAGCCUGGGAAAGUCAGCUUGAUACGUGGUUAACUAGAGUAUGUGAGAGGAAAGUAGAAUUCCAGGUGUAGCGGUGAAAUGCGUAGAGAUCUGGAGGACAUACCGAUGGCUGAAGGCAGCAUUUC